CGCCCCAACUAAUCCGGCCCUUACGGUGGCGGGCUCUUUGACUUCAGAAAUCGACCAGACAUCUGCAAAUCCCAGCUGGGAUGUGAUACCCGGAAAAUGGCAAAGUGAAGCGUCAAGUAGAAAGAAGAAAUUCCUAAGAAGAACUAGUAAUAAUGAACGUUGUAUUAUAUGAACGUUCGAGCUAUGGCGAGGUCCCCGUGCACGUGAGAGUCAUGGAACGGGGACCCCAAAACGAACGGCGCAAGGCCUCACACGAGGAACUCCCCGUCAAAAGCGCAACAAUUUG
rnacentral:lncRNA from 1 species